UACGGAGGAUGCAAGCGUUAUCCGGAAUGAUUGGGCGUAAAGCGUCCGCAGGUGGCGAUGUAAGUCUGCUGUUAAAGAGUGAGGCUCAACCUCAUAAAGGCAGUGGAAACUACAUGGCUAGAGUGCGUUCGGGGCAGAGGGAAUUCCUGGUGCAGCGGUGAAAUGCGUAGAGAUCAGGAAGAACACCGGUGGCGAAAGCGCUCUGCUAGGCCGCAACUGACACUGAGGGACGAAAGCUAGGGGAGCGAAUGGG
rnacentral:rRNA from 1 species